UUAAGGGCGCAACAGUCAUGGCUGGGCAGACAGAAGCAAAGCCGAUCCCUCAAGACAUACAGUCUACGCCAGAGAUUUAACGAGAGAGGAACUGAGGCAGGAAUCCUUGCUCAACAUUACCAGGGGCCACCAGCAGAUAGGCACCAUUAUAUUUAAAUAAGCAAACAUCCAAGCAAAUAACAUGAAAUAUGGAUAUCCAGAUGUUCACCAAAUCAGUUUUUCCUGGGUUUUGGAGAUGCCUGUUUAUGCUCAGCCCAAAGCCCAAAAGGACUGCCCACAAAGAUCAGAAGUCCAGAUUAAACUCUGGCCCAUGAACCUGACUUGCAUAAAAACAUAAAAACACUGCAAAGAUGGUUUGUUGUUUUUAAGAGGAACGGAUGACACAGCAUGACGCCGAGCCAGCUCUUCAUUUCUGCCCUACAAAGGACAUGGGCUCCACAUCCCCCAGAGAUCUUUUGGCAUUGGUGUACAUGCGCUGCACCCUUCAUCCUGGCUGCCGCCAUGCCAUCCUCUGCCCAACCAAUACCUCCAAGAGGAAAUCCCGCAGCGCCACAAAGAGAGAAAGAGCCUCACCAGGCGAAGGGGACUUUGCGGUGCUCCUGCAUGAUGUAAUGGUCAUUGUUCUUGGGCAAGGC